rnacentral:rRNA from 1 species
CCUACGGGAGGCAGCAGUCGAGAAUCUUCGGCAAUGGGCGAAAGCCUGACCGAGCGAUGCCGCGUGCGGGAUGAAGGCCCUCGGGUUGUAAACCGCUGUCGUAGAGGAGAAAGGUCUGAUGAAGAAUCAGAUUUGAUCUAUUCUAGGAGGAAGUCGGGGCUAAGUUCGUGCCAGCAGCCGCGGUAACACGAACCCGACAAACGUUAUUCGGAAUUAUUGGGCUUAAAGGGUGCGUAGGCGGUGCGGUAAGUGCGGUGUGAAAGCCCUCGGCUCAACCGAGGAAUUGCGCUGCAUACUGCCGUGCUGGAGGGAGACAGAGGUAAGCGGAACUGAUGGUGGAGCGGUGAAAUGCGUUGAUAUCAUCAGGAACACCGGUGGCGAAAGCGGCUUACUGGGUCUUCUCUGACGCUGAGGCACGAAAGCUAGGGUAGCGAACGGGAUUAGAUACCCUGGUAGUC